AAUAGAUACCCCGGUAGUCCACGCCGUAAACGAUGUCGACUUGGAGGUUGUUCCCUUGAGGAGUGGCUUCCGGAGCUAACGCGUUAAGUCGACCGCCUGGGGAGUACGGCCGCAAGGUUAAAACUCAAAUGAAUUGACGGGGGCCCGCACAAGCGGUGGAGCAUGUGGUUUAAUUCGAUGCAACGCGAAGAACCUUACCUGGUCUUGACAUCCACAGAAUUUUGCAGAGAUGCGAAAGUGCCUUCGGGAACUGUGAGACAGGUGCUGCAUGGCUGUCGUCAGCUCGUGUUGUGAAAUGUUGGGUUAAGUCCCGCAACGAGCGCAACCCUUAUCCUUUGUUGCCAGCGGUUAGGCCGGGAACUCAAAGGAGACUGCCAGUGAUAAACUGGAGGAAGGUGGGGAUGACGUCAAGUCAUCAUGGCCCUUACGACCAGGGGCCUACACACGUGCUACAAUGGCAUAUACAAAAGAGAAGCGAACCUCGCGAGAGCAAGCGGACCUCAUAAAAGUAUGUCGUAGUCCGGA
rnacentral:rRNA from 1 species